rnacentral:rRNA from 1 species
UCUUGGACAAUGGGCGCAAGCCUGAUCCAGCCAUGCCGCGUGAGUGAAGAAGGCCUUAGGGUUGUAAAGCUCUUUUGGCAGGGACGAUAAUGACGGUACCUGCAGAAUAAGCCCCGGCAAACUUCGUGCCAGCAGCCGCGGUAAUACGAAGGGGGCUAGCGUUGUUCGGAUUUACUGGGCGUAAAGCGCACGUAGGCGGAUUGUUAAGUCAGGGGUGAAAUCCCGGAGCUCAACUCCGGAACUGCCUUUGAUACUGGCAAUCUUGAGGCUGGAAGAGGUUGGUAGAAUUCCCAGUGUAGAGGUGAAAUUCGUAGAUAUUGGGAAGAAUACCAGUGGCGAAGGCGGCCAACUGGUCCAGAUCCGACGCUGAGGUGCGAAAGCGUGGGGAGCAAACA